rnacentral:rRNA from 1 species
UAUUCCCGUACUUGGUGUUACUGCGAAGGGGGGACGGAGAAGGCUAUGUUGGCCGGGCGACGGUUGUCCCGGUUUAAGCGUGUAGGUGUGUGUUCCAGGUAAAUCCGGUUCACUUUAACACUGAGGCGUGACGACGAGGCACUACGGUGCUGAAGCAACAAAUGCCCUGCUUCCAGGAAAAGCCUCUAAGCAUCAGGUAACAUCAAAUCGUACCCCAAACCGACACAGGUGGUCAGGUAGAGAAUACCAAGGCGCUUGAGAGAACUCGGGUGAAGGAACUAGGCAAAAUGGUGCCGUAACUUCGGGAGAAGGCACGCUGACACGUAGGUGAAGUGAUUUACUCAUGGAGCUGAAGUCAGUCGAAGAUACCAGCUGGCUGCAACUGUUUAUUAAAAACACAGCACUGUGCAAACACGAAAGUGGACGUAUACGGUGUGACGCCUGCCCGGUGCCGGAAGGUUAAUUGAUGGGGUCAGCGCAAGCGAAGCUCCUGAUCGAAGCCCCGGUAAACGGCGGCCGUAACUAUAACGGUCCUAAGGUAGCGAAAUUCCUUGUCGGGUAAGUUCCGACCUGCACGAAUGGCGUAAUGAUGGCCAGGCUGUCUCCACCCGAGACUCAGUGAAAUUGAACUCGCUGUGAAGAUGCAGUGUACCCGCGGCAAGACGGAAAGACCCCGUGAACCUUUACUAUAGCUUGACACUGAACAUUGAGCCUUGAUGUGUAGGAUAGGUGGGAGGCUUUGAAGUGUGGACGCCAGUCUGCAUGGAGCCGACCUUGAAAUACCACCCUUUAAUGUUUGAUGUUCUAACGUGGACCCGUUACCCGGGUUGCGGACAGUGUCUGGUGGGUAGUUUGACUGGGGCGGUCUCCUCCUAAAGAGUAACGGAGGAGCACGAAGGUUGGCUAAUCCUGGUCGGACAUCAGGAGGUUAGUGCAAUGGCAUAAGCCAGCUUGACUGCGAGCGUGACGGCGCGAGCAGGUGCGAAAGCAGGUCAUAGUGAUCCGGUGGUUCUGAAUGGAAGGGCCAUCGCUCAACGGAUAAAAGGUACUCCGGGGAUAACAGGCUGAUACCGCCCAAGAGUUCAUAUCGACGGCGGUGUUUGGCACCUCGAUGUCGGCUCAUCACAUCCUGGGGCUGAAGUAGGUCCCAAGGGUAUGGCUGUUCGCCAUUUAAAGUGGUACGCGAGCUGGGUUUAGAACGUCGUGAGACAGUUCGGUCCCUAUCUGCCGUGGGCGCUGGAGAACUGAGGGGGGCUGCUCCUAGUACGAGAGGACCGGAGUGGACGCAUCACUGGUGUUCGGGUUGUCAUGCCAAUGGCACUGCCCGGUAGCUAAAUGCGGAAGAGAUAAGUGCUGAAAGCAUCUAAGCACGAAACUUGCCCCGAG